GACCUUGGGUAGGCCACAUGGUAACUCCAAUACGUUUUGUCUGUUAUGAUUGCUUAACUUUUGAAAUGAACCGAAAUCUUUUUGUAAUGAAACCACAUGUAAUGCCAAGGGAAAUAAAGGAAUUCUAGAAAGAACCAUAUCAUCAAGAGUGUAACUUAGUAACUUUUAGAAUGAAAUUUUCUAAAUGAAAUAGGAGAGUUGUAACACCCUUCCCCCCCC
rnacentral:lncRNA from 1 species